UCCUCGCUCCUGCGGCCACGUUGGGUAUUUCUCUUUGAUCUCCAGUUCCCACCAUGCCCACGCGUUGUUGUGUCGUUGGUUGUGCGAGCAAAUCCCACGACCGCCAGGGUCAGAAGAUCCCAAACGGACUCUGUUUUUAUCGUUUUCCCGCCUGGAAGCGCCACCAAGGAGAGCAAGUUUCUGAACUGACUAAAUCUCGUCGCCUCGCUCGGGUCGCGGCUGUAAGACGAUCAAACAUCACCUUUCACAGCAUUCCGGAGUCGAUGAGAGUGUGUUCUCUGCAUUUUCAUUCUGGCAAACCGGCCGCUGAAAUGUACUCCUCUCACCCGACUGGGCGCCGUCGCUGCGGUUGGGCCACUCUGAGGUGAAAGCCACAGCGACUGAACGCUACGAGAGGCGGGAGAAGAGGAAGCGUCGAGGGAUGGAGGAGACCACACCACACAGUCUGUGGAUGACACGGAUGACCCUGUGCCACACGUGGAAACACCGGCAGCGGCAGCAGCAGACCGGGAGGACGGAGCUGGCCGGGGUCUGAGGGAAUGUGACUUUUGCCAGAUGCGGCGGGAUGAGAUUAACCGGCUGCUGGAGGAGAACCGGUCCCUGAAGUCUGAGCUUGGCCAGAAAAAAUGGGACGAAGAUUUCCUGAAGAAUGACACUGAAAAAGUGAAAUACUACACUGGGCCUUCACACCCGGAUAUUCUCAUGGAUCUUCUGGUUUCAGUUGGACCAUUCAUCACGCAGAGAAGCAAAGUGUUGUCUCAAUCACAUCAUCGAUGUUCUGCACGCACGCGUCACCCCUUCCAUCCACUGGCCGUCCCGAGAGGCGUUACAUGCUACGAUGCCGCAGCAGUUCGUGGAGGCGUUUGGGAAGCGCGUUGCUGUGAUUCUGGACUGCUUUGAAAUAAACACACAGAAACCAUCCAAGCCCACGGCGCAGGCCGCAGCACAUCCCCACCACAAACACAACGCUACUAGGAAGUACCUCGUUGGCAUCACACCCGGCGGCGCAGUUUCUUUCAUCUCCAAGGGGUGGGGGGGGAAGUGAGAGCGAUAAACACAUAACCGAAGCGAGUGGCAUUCUGGAGAAGCUGUCACCUGGAGACGUGCUGCUGGCUGAUCGCGGCUUUGACAUCGACGACGGGGUGGGACUCGUUUGCGCGGAGGUAAAGGAUCCUGCCUUAACAGAAGGCCGCUGUCAGCUGGAUGCGAGAGAUCCGGAGAGCCUCAAAAAAACUGGCCACCAAUUGGAACGGUCAUCGGAGCCGUCAGCAACAAAUACACCAUGCUCUCUGCGAAGGCAACGAGUCAGAUGGUUCUGCCCAGCAAGGACGAGGAUGGGACGUUCCUCGAUAAGAUAUUUAGUGUGUGCUUCGCGCUGACAAACAUGAGCCCAGGUGUUGAGCUGAAAUAAACGCCUGUAAAGUGAAGCUGUAAGUAUCUGUGGUAU